rnacentral:rRNA from 1 species
UACAGAGGGGGCAAGCGUUGUUCGGAAUUACUGGGCGUAAAGGGCGCGUAGGCGGCCGCCUAAGUCAGACGUGAAAUCCCUCGGCUCAACCGGGGUACUGCGUCUGAUACUGGGUGGCUUGAAUCCGGGAGAGGGAUGCGGAAUUCCAGGUGUAGCGGUGAAAUGCGUAGAUAUCUGGAGGAACACCGGUGGCGAAGGCGGCAUCCUGGACCGGCAUUGACGCUGAGGCGCGAAAGCCAGGGGAGCAAACGGG